AACGAACGCUGGCGGCAUGCCUAACACAUGCAAGUCGAACGAGACCUUCGGGUCUAGUGGCGCACGGGUGCGUAACGCGUGGGAACCUGCCCUUAGGUUCGGAAUAACUCCCCGAAAGGGGUGCUAAUACCGGAUAAUGUCUUCGGACCAAAGAUUUAUCGCCUUUGGAUGGGCCCGCGUUGGAUUAGCUAGUUGGUAGGGUAAAAGACUACCAAGGCGACGAUCCAUAGCUGGGCUGAGAGGAUGAUCAGCCACACUGGGAGUGAGACACGGCCCAGACUCCUACGGGAGGCAGCAGUGGGGAAUAUUGGAAAAUGGGCGAAAGCCUGAUCCAGCAAUGACGCGUGAGUGAUGAAGGCCUUAGGGUUGUAAAGCUCUUUUAACCGGGAUGAUAAUGACAGUACCGGGAGAAUAAGCUCCGGCUAACUCCGUG
rnacentral:rRNA from 1 species